CAGAUAAUAUAGAAGACAGCGCGCUAGCGGAUCUAGUCUGUGUUUAUCUAUGGUCGGCAGGUCUGGUAGCAUCUCUGACUGCUGUUGACCUUGUUUUUGGAGUAAAACACGGUGGAAGCUGAAUUAGUGAGGAUGACUCCUGCUCCUGUCAUCUCUAAGCUCCUCACACAUCUUUACCUGCACAUGAGGAAAAUCACUCCUGUAGAAUGCAGAUGUUCAGAGGGAGAUGAUGCCACAUCUGGUCCAGCAGAUGGAAGGUCUUGAAGUUCUCUGACUGGCCUCGACUGAAG